GCUGGCAGCUAGCUCUCUGCAACUCUCACAUGGUCGCCCACUGAAGCUAAGCAGGGCUGAGCCUGGUCAGUACCUGGAUGGGAGACCACAUGGGAAAGCUAGGUUGCUGCUGGAA
rnacentral:rRNA from 1 species